rnacentral:rRNA from 1 species
UACGUAGGGGGCAAGCGUUGUCCGGAUUUAUUGGGCGUAAAGAGCGUGUAGGCGGCUAGGUAGGUCCGUUGUGAAAACUCGAGGCUCAACCUCGAGACGUCGAUGGAAACCAUCUAGCUAGAGUCCGGAAGAGGAGAGUGGAAUUCCUGGUGUAGCGGUGAAAUGCGCAGAUAUCAGGAAGAACACCCGUGGCGAAGGCGGCUCUCUGGUACGUGACUGACGCUGAGACGCGAAAGCCAGGGGAGCGAACGGG